UGGGGAAUAUUGCACAAUGGGCGAAAGCCUGAUGCAGCGACGCCGCGUGAGGGAUGACGGCCUUCGGGUUGUAAACCUCUUUCAGCAGGGAAGAAGCGAAAGUGACGGUACCUGCAGAAGAAGCGCCGGCUAACUACGUGCCAGCAGCCGCGGUAAUACGUAGGGCGCAAGCGUUGUCCGGAAUUAUUGGGCGUAAAGAGCUCGUAGGCGGUUAGUCGCGUCUGCUGUGAAAACUCGAGGCUCAACCUCGGGCUUGCAGUGGGUACGGGCUGACUAGAGUGCGGUAGGGGUGACUGGAAUUCCUGGUGUAGCGGUGGAAUGCGCAGAUAUCAGGAGGAACACCGAUGGCGAAGGCAGGUCACUGGGCCGCAAACUGACGCUGAGGAGCGAAAGCAUGGGGAGCGAACAGGAUUAGAUACUCUGGUAGUCCAUGCCGUAAAACGUUGGGCACUAGGUGUGGGGUCCAUUCCACGGAUUCCGUGCCGCAGCAAACGCAUUAAGUGCCCCGCCUGGGGAGUACGGCCGCAAGGCUAAAAACUCAAAAGGAAUUGACGGGGGUCAUAGCUGUUUCCU
rnacentral:rRNA from 1 species